UACGUAGGGGGCAAGCGUUGUCCGGAAUCAUUGGGCGUAAAGCGCGUGUAGGCGGCCCGGUAAGUCCGCUGUGAAAGUCGGGGGCUCAACCCCCGGAUGCCGGUGGAUACUGUCGGGCUCGAGUACGGAAGAGGCGAGUGGAAUUCCUGGUGUAGCGGUGAAAUGCGCAGAUAUCAGGAGGAACACCUAUUGCGAAGGCAGCUCGCUGGGACGUCACUGACGCUGAGACGCGAAAGCGUGGGGAGCAAACAGG
rnacentral:rRNA from 1 species